AUUGAACGCUGGCGGCAUGCCUUACACAUGCAAGUCGAACGGCAGCACGGGAGCAAUCCUGGUGGCGAGUGGCGAACGGGUGAGUAAUAUAUCGGAACGUGCCCAGUCGUGGGGGAUAACGUAGCGAAAGCUAAGCUAAUACCGCAUACGAUCUAUGGAUGAAAGCGGGGGAUCGCAAGACCUCGCGCGAUUGGAGCGGCCGAUAUCAGAUUAGGUAGUUGGGGAGGUAAAGGCUCACCAAGCCGACGAUCUGUAGCUGGUCUGAGAGGACGACCAGCCACACUGGGACUGAGACACGGCCCAGACUCCUACGGGAGGCAGCAGUGGGGAAUUUUGGACAAUGGGCGCAAGCCUGAUCCAGCAAUGCCGCGUGCAGGAUGAAGGCCUUCGGGUUGUAAACUGCUUUUGUACGGAACGAAACGGCGAGCUCUAAUACAGUUUGCUAAUGACGGUACCGUAAGAAUAAGCACCGGCUAACUACGUGCCAGCCGCCGCGGUAA
rnacentral:rRNA from 1 species